UUCUUCCCGUCCUCCUCCACCCCGCCUAGGCGCCAUCUCCUCCUCUCCCUCUUCCAAGGCUCGCCCAGCCACCGUUCCCAGCCCCCGCUGCUUCGUCGUCUGCUCCUCCAUUGACGACAGUUUAGGUAAGACAAAGAUGAGUGUCCGAUCUACGCCCUCGCCAGGUUGCAUCCAUUGGUGAGGAGAGGCCGAUCCACGUAUGUGCUGUCGCUGCAGGAUAGCGAAUGUCAGCGAGAAAGGCCGUCAUUGGAGUACGCAGCCGUCUCCCUCUCCGCUUCUCCUGGUGGCACCUCCCUACCGGAGUCCAUUCUUCUUGGCUUUCAACACUGCCUGUUCUUGCUAGGAACUAUUGUUAUAUUACGCUCUGCAGUUGUUCUGCAGAUGGGAGGAAACAAGGAGGAUAAGGCAGUUUUUAUGCAAAUGUUGAUGUUUUUGGCUGGAAUCAACACCCUUCAAAAGAGUUUCUUUGGUUACCUGAUUGCCUGCGGUGAUUGGUGGAUCAUACACCUUUGUUCUACCUACCAUUUCGAUCAUACUUGCGGGACGCUAUGCAGACGAACCAGAUCCACACAUAUUAUAUGUUGAAAAGAAGGGUAAUUCUACUUGCCUCCCAGUAAUCUUUUCCUGCAUGUAAACUGACGAGUCACCUGGAUUUCGUUUUUGAAGGAAUUCCCCAAAAUCUUGCAUGGAGCAAAAGGUGCUUUGAUCGUUGCUUCUGUACUUGGUGAUCUUCUGUACUAUUUAAUAGUUGCUUCAUGUUUCUAUAGGAUACCCCCAUAUGCUACAUGACAACCAUAGUGAGCAUGUCAAAAGUUUAGCAUGCUUAUUAUAAUUCUCUUCUUUGUAAAUUAUUAUACGAAGUUUGCGUUUUGCUUGGUUAACUCCUCUGUGUUCUAUAGACUAUCGUGGUAAAGAGGUUUUUAUCAGGUUAUUCAUUCCCAUACAUUGAACCUAUGGUUCUAACUUUUUCCCAUGAUAAAGAAAAUGGGGUUUACCGCUUUUAAUCAAUAUCUAAUUAAACCAACAAAACAACUACAGUUCCGCCAACAUACCAUUUUUUGCUGGUGGACAUACCAAAUUACUCAUAUGUAUCAUAUUAUGCUGCUUCCCAUAUUGUUUUCUCCCAGGAAUGACAAGGCAUUCAGGUUCUCUUUUUAGCUUUCCUACACAGGAACGUAUUGCAAAAUUAAGAUACAUAACAUUGUUCCACCUACAGGUCUGUCUUAUAUCUACAGGUAUAUCCAUGCAUUCUUUGUUCUUUUUCUUCAGUGAUCUACUGAUCUUCGUGAUUUUGUUUAGUGCUAGAGUUAGCAAAAUUUGUCAUGGAGCAGAUUGUGCUUGACUUCACGUGUGUAUGAUGUAAUAUGAAUUAAUGGUAUCUUUGUGGUUGACUCGGUUAUGUGCCUUUUGUCUGAAUCAAUUGAGAAAAAUCUGAAUAUAUACCUGAAUGUGGUGGUUUCACACAUUCUGAAUGAA